GACGAACGCUGGCGGCGUGCUUAACACAUGCAAGUCGAACGGAAAGGCCCUGCUUUUGUGGGGUGCUCGAGUGGCGAACGGGUGAGUAACACGUGAGUAACCUGCCCUUGACUUUGGGAUAACUUCAGGAAACUGGGGCUAAUACCGGAUAGGAGCUCCUGCUGCAUGGGGGGGGUUGGAAAGUUUCGGCGGUUGGGGAUGGACUCGCGGCUUAUCAGCUUGUUGGUUGGGUAGUGGCUUACCAAGGCUUUGACGGGUAGCCGGCCUGCGAGGGUGACCGGCCCCAUUGGGACUGGGAUACGACCCGGACUGCUACGGGGGGCAGCGGUGGGGAAUAUUGCACAAUGGGCGGCAGCCUGAUGCAGCAACGCCGCGUGCGGGAUGACGGCCUUCGGGUUGUAAACCGCUUUCGCCUGUGACGAAGCGUGAGUGACGGUAAUGGGUAAAGAAGCACCGGCUAACUACGUG
rnacentral:rRNA from 1 species